rnacentral:rRNA from 1 species
GAUGAACGCUGGCGGCGUGCCUAAUACAUGCAAGUCGAGCGAACGGACGAGAAGCUUGCUUCUCUGAUGUUAGCGGCGGACGGGUGAGUAACACGUGGAUAACCUACCUAUAAGACUGGGAUAACUUCGGGAAACCGGAGCUAAUACCGGAUAAUAUUUUGAACCGCAUGGUUCAAAAGUGAAAGACGGUCUUGCUGUCACUUAUAGAUGGAUCCGCGCUGCAUUAGCUAGUUGGUAAGGUAACGGCUUACCAAGGCAACGAUGCAUAGCCGACCUGAGAGGGUGAUCGGCCACACGGGAACUGAGACACGGUCCAGACUCCUACGGGAGGCAGCCGUAGGGAAUCUUCCGCAAUGGGCGAAAGCCUGACGGAGCAACGCCGCGUGAGUGAUGAAGGUCUUCGGAUCGUAAAACUCUGUUAUUAGGGAAGAACAUAUGUGUAAGUAACUGUGCACAUCUUGACGGUACCUAAUCAGAAAGCCACGGCUAACUACGUG